rnacentral:tRNA from 1 species
GCCUGGGUGGCUCAGUCGGUUGAGCAUCCGACUUUGGCUCAGGUCAUGAUCUCCCAGUUAGUGGGUUCAAGUCCUGCAUCAGGCU